CGGCUCGGUUUCCUGGGGGGUGGGCGCAGCCUGUCCCACCUCCCCUCAGACGGGCCUAGAGCACAGAGGCCGGCCUGCCUCCCCCGGGGGCGAGGCUGUUAAGACCAGAGCCUCUCCCGGGCUGUCCUGCCUCACAUUU
rnacentral:snoRNA from 1 species